rnacentral:tRNA from 1 species
GGCUAGGUACUUUAAUCAAAAAGGUCUGAUUUGCAUUUAGAAGAUGAGCAAUUCCUGCUCCCAAGCCA